rnacentral:rRNA from 1 species
UACGUAGGGGGCAAGCGUUGUCCGGAAUCAUUGGGCGUAAAGCGCGCGUAGGCGGCCCUGUAAGUCCGUUGUGAAAGUCCAAGGCUCAACCUUUGAAAGCCGAUGGAUACUGCAGGGCUAGAGUCCGGAAGAGGCGAGUGGAAUUCCUGGUGUAGCGGUGGAAUGCGCAGAUAUCAGGAGGAACACCAAUAGCGAAGGCAGCUCGCUGGGACGGUACUGACGCUAAGGCGCGAAAGCGUGGGGAGCGAACAGG